CCUACGGGAGGCAGCAGUGAGGAAUAUUGGUCAAUGGACGAGAGUCUGAACCAGCCAAGUAGCGUGAAGGAUGACUGCCCUAUGGGUUGUAACCUUCUUUUAUAUGGGAAUAAAAUGUUCCACGUGUGGGAUUUUGUAUGUCCCAUAUGAAUAAGGAUCGGCUAACUCCGUGUCAGUAGCCGCGGUAAUACGGAGGAUCCGAGCGUUAUCCGGAUAUUUUGUGUUUAAAGGGAGGGCAGGUGGAUUGUUAAGUCAGUUGUAAAAGUUUGGGCCUCAACCGUAAAAUUGUAGUUGAAACUGGCAGGCUUGAGUACAGUAGAGGUGAGCGGAAUUCGUGGUGUAGCGGUGAAAUGCUUAGAUGUCACGAAGAACUCCGAUUGCGAAGGCAGUUCACUGGACUGCAACUGACACUGAGGCUCGAAAGUGUAGGUAUCAAACAGGAUUAGAUACCCUGGUAGUC
rnacentral:rRNA from 1 species